rnacentral:tRNA from 1 species
GCCAGCGUAGCUCAGUGGUAGAGCAGGCGCCUUGUAAGCGUCAGGUCGUGGGUUCAAAUCCCACCGCUGGCU